AUGUUCCUAGGAGCUGUCACUGGCGCCUAUGGUCCUGAAGCGGCAAGCCUCGGCACCUGCCUCGUGGGAGGCGGAGCGCCACGCCCAGCUCCGCUGGUUCCUUCCUGCGGUCCCGCCACCAUACUAACCGCCGCUAGGGGCGGCCCUUGCCUUGCUGGAGGCGGAGCGCCUCGGCCGGUCCCGGCGGCUUCGACAGUGGGCGUCUGCCCAUGCCUAGCUGGCAGUGGUCCGCGUCUAGCCAUCUUGCCGGCACAAAGGAUCCUGGCUGCACGUCCCAUGCCUAAAGUCGGGAAGCUUGGUGUGCGCUCAACCCUAGCUGCGAUCAACGAGGACGAGGGCACUGGUGCUACUUGCAUGCACGCAAGAUGCGAUUCAGACGUGGCUUGGGCUUCUAACUAG
rnacentral:rRNA from 1 species